rnacentral:rRNA from 1 species
UACAGAGGUCUCAAGCGUUGUUCGGAUUCAUUGGGCGUAAAGGGUGUGUAGGCGGCGCGGUAAGUCGGGUGUGAAAUCUCGGAGCUUAACUCCGAAACUGCAUUCGAUACUGCCGUGCUUGAGGACUGGAGAGGAGACUGGAAUUUACGGUGUAGCGGUGAAAUGCGUAGAUAUCGUAAGGAAGACCAGUGGCGAAGGCGGGUCUCUGGACAGUUCCUGACGCUGAGGCACGAAGGCCAGGGGAGCAAACGGG